GACAGAGGGUGCGAACGUUGCUCGGAAUUACUGGGCGUAAAGCGCGUGUAGGCGGCCUCGCGAGUCGGGUGUGAAAGCCCGGGGCUCAACCCCGGACGUGCAUUCGAUACUACGAGGCUAGAGUCCUGAAGAGGAGGGCGGAAUUCCCGGUGUAGAGGUGAAAUUCGUAGAUAUCGGGAGGAACACCAGUGGCGAAGGCGGCUCUCUGGACAGGCACUGACGCUGAGACGCGAAAGCGUGGGUAGCAAACAGG
rnacentral:rRNA from 1 species